rnacentral:rRNA from 1 species
GCUUAGAGUUUGAUCCUGGCUCAGAUUGAACGCUGGCGGCAUGCUUUACACAUGCAAGUCGAACGGUAACAGGUCUUCGGAUGCUGACGAGUGGCGAACGGGUGAGUAAUACAUCGGAACGUGCCUAGUAGUGGGGGAUAACUACUCGAAAGAGUAGCUAAUACCGCAUGAGAUCUACGGAUGAAAGCAGGGGACCUUCGGGCCUUGUGCUACUAGAGCGGCUGAUGGCAGAUUAGGUAGUUGGUGGGGUAAAGGCUUACCAAGCCUGCGAUCUGUAGCUGGUCUGAGAGGACGACCAGCCACACUGGGACUGAGACACGGCCCAGACUCCUACGGGAGGCAGCAGUGGGGAAUUUUGGACAAUGGGCGAAAGCCUGAUCCAGCAAUGCCGCGUGCAGGAUGAAGGCCCUCGGGUUGUAAACUGCUUUUGUACGGAACGAAAAGCCUGGGGCUAAUAUCCCCGGGUCAUGACGGUACCGUAAGAAUAAGCACCGGCUAACUACGUGCCAGCAGCCGCGGUAAUACGUAGGGUGCAAGCGUUAAUCGGAAUUACUGGGCGUAAAGCGUGCGCAGGCGGUUUUGUAAGACCGUGGUGAAAUCCCCGGGCUCAACCUGGGAACUGCCAUUGUGACUGCAAGGCUAGAGUGCGGCAGAGGGGGAUGGAAUUCCGCGUGUAGCAGUGAAAUGCGUAGAUAUGCGGAGGAACACCGAUGGCGAAGGCAAUCCCCUGGGCCUGCACUGACGCUCAUGCACGAAAGCGUGGGGAGCAAACAGGAUUAG